rnacentral:snRNA from 1 species
GAAUGUGAGGGUGAUCUGUAUGUGACAUCUGUCACCUCAUUGAUUGCCAGGGUUGAUUCAAGUCAUCUGGUUGGCAAGGCGGGUGUCCCGUUCCUCUCUCACUGCCCCAUGUGUGUCCCUCCUGAAGUGCACACUUGGCCAAAGAGGAGGACCACCCCUGAUAGAGGAGGACCACUCCCCUGCUAGAACCCCCAGACAAGCUCACAAGAACAAAUAUUUGAAGACAAAAGAACUGAGGAUUGAGUCCCCAUAUAUGGUACCGUGUCUGUGACCUU